rnacentral:lncRNA from 1 species
UUUGGAGCUUGGAGACCCCGGUCCUGACAGCUUCCCUCCCCGCUCUCUUUUCUUUCAGCUCUGCAGUCCUUCAUCCAAGCCUACGCCACCUACCCCAGGGAGCUGAAGCACAUCUUCCACGUCCGAUCCCUCCACCUUGGGCAUGUGGCGAAGAGCUUCGGACUAAGAGAUGCCCCCAGGAAUCUUAGUGCCUUGACUAGAAAGAAGAGGAAAGCACACGUGAAAAGGCCUGACCUUCAUAAGAAGACCCAGAGUAAACACAGCCUCGCUGAAAUCCUACGUUCGGAAUACUCAAGCGGCAUGGAGGCCGACAUCGCCAAGGUCAAAAAGCAAAACGCACCUGGAGAGCCUGGUGGCCGGCCCCUGCAGCACAGUCUGCAGCCGACACCCUGCUUUGGCCGUGGGAAAACAUUAAAAUGGAGAAAAACCCAAAAAGGUGUACAGCGGGACAGCAAGACUUCCCAGAAAGUUUAAAAUCUCUCUGGGUCUUCGAGUGGAACCUGGAAGCCCCGGGUGGCAGUGGAUUGAUGUCCAGUUCUUGUCAGAGGAGGCUUGUGAAAAAUAACUGCGCCUUUGCCUGAAUACCACGUCCCCAAGAAUCAGAGGGGCCACAGCCCUUCUCCUCCAUGGGAGGCCCUGGAGCCUGAUAGAAAUCAGUGGUGUGGGGCACUGUAGAGACUAGCCAGCUCCCGACGGAAGGGGUCUGUGUCUUGUAUUGAUCCCAUCAGUGCCCGGCACUCCCUUCACCCAGGUGCUGACGUGCCGGGGUUGAGCUGGCACCCCGGGAUGUGAUGUAAGAACGCCCUGCGCGUCAGCCUGGAACGGGCUUGAUUGCUGCCCUUAACUGUGUUCUGAAGUUUCACAGCUUGGCUUCAGCCUAUCAGCGCAUACAUUGGCAUGAAUUUUGUGAAUUAGGGUGUUAAAAACUGGAAUUGAAUUUGUACAAAAAGAGAAUAUAUUUAUCACUAAUUAUUUUCUUAAUGUAGGAAUGUACCGUUAAAAAGGACCAAAAGUUUUUGGUCUGGGUCAAAAAAUACGAAUGUGUUCUCAGGCUCGUGGUCCCUCUUAUUUUCUUCUGGAAACACGAGGUUGCAUUUACAUGCAUUGCUCCCUCUUUCAUGUCCACUGAAAACUCACUCUCUCAGGGCUAAUUGAUUUACUGUUGGCUUUUUAUUAUUUGCCUUUGAAGUCAAAAGGCACCAGUAUCCCAAGCUUUUUUUCCCUAUCGAAUCCUGUCUUGUCUUCAAGAAAGGUCUGGGGGUCUUUGUAUUGUGACCCAGGCCACAGCUGCCCGCCCCCCGCCCCCGACCCACCCCGCCCUGCCCCUGCAUUGUGUUUUCUGGGAGGUUUGAAAGAGGCCCCCUGGAGCAUAUUGAUUUCCCAAUAAAUGUAAGAUUUGGGCACUUGCAGAGGGGUCCAGAAGAGAAAGGGUUGGAGGCCUCCACACCUGUGGGCACCGCUCCUGUCCUCUCCACUGUGUCUUGCCUUCUCAGUUUCCUUCUCCUCUGCAGUGACUGUGCCGCCCUCUGUGGUCUCCCCAGGACCAGUGUUGAGGCACCACUUCAGUAGAUCCCCCCAGAUCCUUGGAAGGUCUGAGUGGCCACGAGAGGGUGGUGAGAGUUGGCAAGGUGGGCCUUCCUGCAGGGACCACGGGGGGUCAGCAUCCUUGCCUCCGUUCUAGACACAGGUGAAUGUCAGUGGGCACCCACACUGGCGGAGACUCCAGUGUGAGGGCAAGGAGGAGCCUAGUGAGACUGGAUCCUCUGCAGGUGGAAAAAUAGGACCUUCUCAGAGUUGGCUGUCACAUACAAAUUAACAGGGACUGUGGGUGACGUUUCUAACAAUAAUAAUUAAAAAACAACAACCCUGCAGCACAUGUCAGCCUGGCGUUGGGCAAGUCUGCCACCUUUCUUUUAUUUCGAUGUGUAAUGGUUCACAUGAUUUGGAUGAGAAAAGGAGGGAUCAAACUUUAUAGACAAAACCCAGCUGUGUGAAAAACAGGAUUAAUGCCAGUGAUUGGGGAUGAUCAAAGAGAAACCUUACUUUUUCUCCCCCAGUACUCAUUCCACUAAAGGGCGAAUUGGCAGAGUUCGGCAUCCCUGGGGGGAAAGAGAAGUGCUAGAAUCAUGCAACGUGUGAGUGACGAUAAUUCCAAGAUCAAAACUUACACACUUAAUCUGCUAACUCUUAUGGUGAGGGUUUCUUGCCAUAGAUGCUAUGUGGGUCUGUUUCUAAGUAGAAUCACUAUAUUACCCCAGUUAAUAAAGAAACAUGGAUUUAGCAGAUUUAAGGUUAAUAUUGUUUAAAUUUAAAUAACCUUAAAAUAAAUCUCUUUCUCUUCUA